rnacentral:rRNA from 1 species
UACGAAGGGGGCUAGCUUUGCUCGGAAUCACUGGGCGUAAAGCGCACGUAGGCGGACUCUUAAGUCAGGGGUGAAAUCCUGGAGCUCAACUCCAGAACUGCCUUUGAUACUGGGAGUCUUGAGUUCGGGAGAGGUGAGUGGAACUGCGAGUGUAGAGGUGAAAUUCGUAGAUAUUCGCAAGAACACCAGUGGCGAAGGCGGCUCACUGGCCCGAUACUGACGCUGAGGUGCGAAAGCGUGGGGAGCAAACAGG